UGCUUCUUAAUAUGUUCUUAAUAGGGCCCGACCGAUAUAUCGGCCGGCCGAUAUAGGGGUCAUUAACUCUAUCGGCUAUCGGCCAAAAAGACGGCCGAUAUAGCGCUACCUAUCCAGUAGAUGGCGCCAGCUUCAUGAACUCAUGUUGUGGGCUCCACUCCUCGGGGGGGUGGAGCCACCAUCACAGCACACAUGCAGCGGAGUCAAGCAGAGACGACGGUGAUGAGGAAGUAGGAGAUGGAAAAAGAGAGUCGUAGUAAGGUGUGGGACUACUUCAUUAAAGAUCCAUCCGGUGAUGUCAUCUGCAGCAUCUGCUCAUCUUCAGUAGUAGUUUGUGUGUUCUGUUGCUUUUGAGAUUGCAAAAUAAAUCUUAUUUGCAUUACUUGGAAA